UACGGAGGGAGCUAGCGUUGUUCGGAAUUACUGGGCGUAAAGCGCGCGUAGGCGGCUUUGUAAGUUAGAGGUGAAAGCCCGGGGCUCAACCCCGGAACUGCCUUUAAGACUGCAUCGCUUGAAUCCGGGAGAGGUGAGUGGAAUUCCGAGUGUAGAGGUGAAAUUCGUAGAUAUUCGGAAGAACACCAGUGGCGAAGGCGGCUCACUGGACCGGUAUUGACGCUGAGGUGCGAAAGCGUGGGGAGCAAACAGGAUUAGAAACCCUCGUAGUCC
rnacentral:rRNA from 1 species